AGAGUUUGAUCCUGGCUCAGAUUGAACGCUGGCGGCGUGCCUAACACAUGCAAGUCGAGCGGUAACAGGUGUAGCAAUACAUGCUGACGAGCGGCGAACGGGUGAGUAAUGCUUCGGAAUCUACCCUAUAGUGGGGAAUAACUAGCCGAAAGGUUAGCUAAUACCGCAUAAGUCCUACGGGAGAAAGCAGGGGAUCGCAAGACCUUGCGCUGAUGGAUGAGCCGAAGUCGGAUUAGCUAGUUGGUGGGGUAACGGCUCACCAAGGCGACGAUCCGUAGCUGGUCUGAGAGGACGACCAGCCACACUGGAACUGAGACACGGUCCAGACUCCUACGGGAGGCAGCAGUGGGGAAUAUUGGACAAUGGGGGAAACCCUGAUCCAGCGACGCCGCGUGUGUGAAGAAGGCCUGCGGGUUGUAAAGCACUUUUAGUGGGGAUGAAAUGUGCAGGGUUAAUACCUCUGCAUUUUGACCUAACCCACAGAAAAAGCACCGGCUAACUCUGUGCCAGCAGCCGCGGUAAUACAGAGGGUGCAAGCGUUAAUCGGAAUUACUGGGCGUAAAGCGUGCGCAGAUGGUUGCGUAAGUCAGAUGUGAAAGCCCCGGGCUCAACCUGGGAAUUGCAUUUGAGACUGCGUAGCUAGGGUGCGGAAGAGGGAAGCGGAAUUUCCGGUGUAGCGGUGAAAUGCGUAGAUAUCGGAAGGAACACCAAGUGGCGAAAGCGGCUUCCUGGUCCAGCACCGACAUUCAGGCACGAAAGCGUGGGGAGCAAACAGGAUUAGAUACCCCAGUAGUCC
rnacentral:rRNA from 1 species